CCGCCAUCUUGGACUACUGAAAUCUAACGUGGCUGACGUCAAAGGAGCUUUUUUUCUUCUCACGCUGUCUGCUGAAGUUCAUGCCGCCCGAGGCUGCUGCAGCUGGCUUGGAUGCACACAGUCAUUUGCCAUAUUGCUUUAAAAAGUGACGAAGACACUGCAUUGCAAUCUUACAAAAGUCCCUGGGGGAAAGCGAUACUUUUGCUAUCCAGCCUGUAACAGCUCUGAGCUGGACUGUAUCUCCUCCUCGCCAUCUGAAUCUGGACCCUCCAAAUCUACACCAGGACCUGGAAGUCUCCACAUGUGGGAGCCAGACAGCAGGUGUGCUGACUCUCCUCCCACAAAAGGAAGACUCUUCUCCCCUGGUGACGGCCUCAUGCGGCCUAGGGAGUGAUGUUGAGGCUUCUUCUUGCACAGAGGUCACAGAAAGCAACUGGAUAUUGAGGAAUCUGCAUCAGGUCACUUUCAGCUCCAACUACCUUGACCCCUAUGUGUAUCAAGGCUAUGAGACUGUCAGUCACAGGUACCUCUACGCUCACCCCUCUGACAUAUCUGGCUUUGUGGAUAAAGGCUUCCCACCCUGCACUCAGAUUCAUCUUGAUAAAAGGGAGCCAGAGUUUGGUUGCUGAAUCAACAGCAUUGUUGCCAGGUUGUCAUGGUGUCUGAUUGUUGAGUAUCAUGUCACGCACCUCAUCACAGCCGGACGUCCCUCUUAGCCUGCAGCCGAUCCCAUGGUCGCCAUGACGUUUACCUUGGCAACCACAAGAGGCUGGCAAAGACUGGGGUGCCAGGAGAAGGUGGUGGCGUUGUGUCACCUCAUGUCAUAAGUCAAGUCUCCAAACACUAACCAAAGUCAUUUUUGGAGAAGCUUUUUCCAUUGAGGUUCAGUAUUUGGAGGUAGUUGAUAAUUGCAGACAUAGAGCAUCAAACAGAGCAUAAACAUAAAAUAAAAAAAAAAAAGUUAAAUCUGUUCCUAUGGUAUGUUUUAAAGUUAAUAUGACAGUGGGUGGACGAUGGCAACCACCAAAGUAUGCAGUAUACCCUUUAAACUCCUCACACUGCCUACAAACUGUAGUAAUAAAAAGCUAAGAAUUUUAACAAAAGUCUUUCAUUAAUUAGAAACCUAUUUUGGAAUUGAGCGCAAGUAACACUUGGAUAACAGCUUACCAGUGGUAAACCAGGACCCGGGGCUCUCCAGGAUCCUGGUGUCUCCAGGGCACCGAGCCCUCGGGGGCAGGAGUCUGAAAGGGAAAGCCAGGGAGAAGACUCCGAGGCCAGGCUAGCUAACUCGCCAGCAGGGGAUCUCAUCACUCUCUCCACACUUUUGCUGUCAGGGCUUUUGUGUCAGCAACAUUACUCACUCAAGGCCCUGCCUCCCAGGUAACUACACUGCUGAGUUGGUGCUGCUGCAGGGAGGGACAGUACACAGCCUCUGCACAACCCUCACAAAAUGUGAAUCCACAAUACGAUAGCCAGAGAAGAAGAAAAACAAAUCAAUCACCUGAGGAAGCUGACGGAGAAUUCCUGCGAGACUAAAAAGUUCUUUACCAAAAUCAGACUUGAAUAUCAACAUUUCUAAACACUCUCAUGCUAAAACAACAUGCCCCAUCCAGGACUUGCCCAACUCCAGAGUCAGGACACAGGCAGAAGGGAGGGAGGGAGGGGGGGGUGGGGAUCCCUGUAGAUCCAUCACACUCCUUUCCUCUCUGGUAGGCGCUACAGAACAACCAGACAAAAUAACUUUAGUACUUGUUUAUGAACAGUUAAAUCAGUUACAACACCAAUUUUGCUUGGAUAUAAAAGAGAUUAUCAGAGAAUUUAUGCUGUAAAUUUUACAAGCAAAAAGCAACCCUCAAAUAUUUUUUAUAAUGCACCAGGUCAAUGUUUUUGACCCCCCCAAAAGGGGGUAAAUUCACCACAUCCAUUUUAAAAACCAUAUAUUAAAAAAAAUCAAUUUCAGGAUUUUAUUAAUCAAUAUAGGAUCACUCAAACAAAGAUUGGUUUUAAUUGUAGAAUCGAUUAUUUUAAUCCAGCACUACUUUUUUAUAUACUGUAUGUAUGUGUAUGUAUGUAUGUAUGUAUGUAUAUGUCAUCCUGAACAUUGUUCUUGGAACUGUAAGUGCAUUGAGCGACACUAGAAACUCAAAUUGUAUGAUUAAACACA